rnacentral:lncRNA from 1 species
UAAUAUACGAAAAGACAAAGUAUAUUUAAGAGCCCCCACUAUGCUUGUGUUUCUCUCUCGUCGCAAUAAUUACUUAUUAAAGUACGAGAAAAGACAAAGUACACGUGAGAUAGGAAAACGACUACUCUAACAAUUUAGGUCUCAUUUGGCUGGAGGAUUUGGAGGGGUAUAAUUUUUUUCCCGGAUAACUUUUUUCUCGGAAUGUUUGGCUAGCGGAUAUGCCCCCGGAUAAGUUAUGCCCCCGAAGGUAGAUAAUUUUUGGGUUGCCUAGACCCCUAACUAAAAAUUAUCCGGGGGAUAAGGGAUACCGCCCCCCUCUCUCCCCCGCCCCCCCCUGUCUCCUUUCUCGUCUCCUCUAUCUACAUCUCUCAGCCCUGCCCACUCUUUUUCCUCUAUCCCUCUUUUCUCUUUUCUUUUCUCUCAUUCCUUUUCUUCCUUCCUCCUAACCUACCUUAUCCACUCAUUCUAAAAAAGUAUCCAAAACAAAAGUUAAAAGUUAUCCCAUCCAAAGUUAUCACCUCUAAAAAGUUUCCUCCCCUAAAAAUUAUGCUGCCUCCCUUAUCCUCAGCCAAACGGGCCCUUGGGGUAAGGUAAAUGUUACGUAGUACGUACCCCCACCAAUUGAAAUAACACCGACACCCAUAGUUAUGAAAACGGACGAACCGGCAGGUUCAACCGGUUCAAUCGAAACUGGGCACUAAAUCGGUUCGGACACAACAUUUUAUCGCAUCGGAAAAAUGCAAGCCAACCGGAUUGAACCGGUUUGAAUCGGCCGAUUUUUUUUUUUUAACAGAAAAAAUAAAGUUUUAAUUUUUACAGUUUGACCCAAAAAUUUUAAUUAAAGUUUUACUUUUUACAAUGACCCCAAAAUUUGAAUUAAAUUAUUUUUUUAAUCGUUUUCUAAAUUAAUUUUUACUAUGAAUGGGUAAUAAAAAAAUUUUUUUUUUUUUUAUAAUAAAAAUAUAAUUUUAUUAUAUUAAUUAUAAAUCCGGUUGAACCGUGGUUGUUUGAACCCAAGGGAACCGUGUGAACCAGUAUUUUGACCGGUUCAAUGUCCGGUUCGGUUCUGAUAACUAUGCCGCGACACCCCUUAAUAUCUGAAAAGGGUAAUGCUAUGAGUACAUUCAAUUUACACCCUAAAUGCAUAUUUGAUGAGGUGGAGUAUUUAAAUUGGUUGGGUGUGGGGUCCACACAGUCCUUUCACCCCACACAUAGCCAAUCUAAAUACUUCAUCUCAUCAGGGGUGCAAGUUGGAUGUACCAUAGCAUUUCUCAUAUCUGAAAACGGUAAAUUUUGACUGACCUCGCAUGAUAUUUUUGAAUCAAAAUCCAACACGUGUACAUUAGUCCAAUUCCUAUUUAAUGGGCUAUUGGGGCCAUAGCCCCUGCAUGUUUCCUCUCGCUGCAUCCACAUGGAGACUGAUCUAAUGUCCCUUUCUUAUCUGUCCUUUCUUUCUUUUUUCAUUAAUUCAAAAGAGGUGAUCAGAUGUGGCGCACCCAUUGUAAUACCAUGGGAGCGUCCCUGAGGGCUCACUACAAUCACAUAAUUUUUUUCAAAUUAUGUCUUAUUUAUUUUUGAAAUCACUCAGCCACAAAAUAUGUGGCUGUGGUGAGGCCACGGAGGGCGCUCCCAUGAUAUUAUCACGGACACGCACCUAUCUGAUCACCACUCUUAAUUUAAUGCGAUGCUCGGAAAAGGUACAAUGGAGUCUUACACGAAUCUCGUAAGUGUUUGCAAUAGUUUAUCUCCUUUAAUUCAUAAACCAUAUAUAAUACUUUAUAUACCGAAGGCAUUAUGAAAUCUAAAAUAUUCCUAAAAUUAUAAUUUAGGUUCGAGUCAAAAAAUUCACAACUACGACCUACAAGCUGAUGAGAUACCAACAUACAUACACCACAAUCAUAUGGUCCUCACUGAUCUCUCUUCUCGACGCCUACACAUGCAUUAUAUGCGCAUAAAAUAUUUGAAGUGUUAAACUAAUCCCAUAUCAAAUAGUUUUGGGAAUACUCCACCUCAUGCUAAUGAUCUUUACUUUACAAUAACAAUUUGUACUACUACAAACAAUUCGCCUUGCUAGAUGCAUUAAAUUGAACUUUCAAGUUCCAAAUUUCUAUUUUGGGAAUUAAAAAGCUUUUUUAAUUGUGCUAUCUGAAAUGACCUUUGGUUUUAACACAUGUAAUAAUUAAAAAAUAUCUUAGCUUUAUCGCCAAAUAUGUGUGUUGAUGAUAUUAUCUAGGGGUGUCUGAAAAUUUAAAAAAAAAACGAUAAAUCAGAUCAAACCAAAUUGGAUCGAACCGUAUGGCUGGUGUGGUCCGGUUCUACGAUUUAGAUUGUUUCAAUACUAAUUUUAAAAAAUAUUAAAUUGGUCUAUAUAGUUCAGUCUUAGUUCUUUAUUUCAGAAUUGUGGUUCAAAAUAAACUGGGCCUGUUUUGUUAAGAACAGAGUUCUGUAACUGGAAUUGAUAUUGCUGAUAGCUGGAAGAAGAAAGAAGAAAAUAGAUUUC